GGCUUUAUAGUCAAUAAUGAUAUUAGACUGCAAUUCUAAAGGAAUAAAUAAAAUUAUUAAGGCUU
rnacentral:tRNA from 1 species